UACGAAGGGGGGCUAGCGUUGUUCGGAAUUACUGGGCGUAAAGCGCACGUAGGCGGAUACUUAAGUUAGGGGUGAAAUCCCAGAGCUCAACUCUGGAACUGCCUUUAAUACUGGGUAUCUCGAGUCCGGAAGAGGUGAGUGGAAUUCCGAGUGUAGAGGUGAAAUUCGUAGAUAUUCGGAGGAACACCAGUGGCGAAGGCGGCUCACUGGUCCGGUACUGACGCUGAGGUGCGAAAGCGUGGGGAGCAAACAGG
rnacentral:rRNA from 1 species